AUUUUAUUAACGACAAUUAUUUCAAAUGGAUGACAGUCACCAACAACUGGACUUAAUGUACUGAUCCAGGCUCUGUUGGAACAGCUGAAAGACACCUGUCUAAAGCAUCGUGUUUUGAUAGAAAGCAUGGAGAACAAGAGUAAAGAAAAGUAACUUGUUUUGCUUGUGCUGUGAGUUUCUAUUUACCUGUGAGAAAGGGACUAAGGAAGAUGUGAUAAGGUCCUGUGCAGGAGGGAAGGGUAGGACUCCAAACAAGGAGCUGAAACAGAGAACAGCGAGAGCUCUGGGAGAUGGAAGGAGGAUGAAUAGGCUGUCUGACAGAGACACACAGAAACAGACUUAGCUCCUGUGACUAGCUUCUACACAUAGGACUUUCUUUGAGAAGUCUGUCUCUCCGUCCCUCCGUCGUCCCACCCCCCUCUCUAACAGGGUCUCACUAUGUAGAUUUGGCUGGCCCCAAACUCAUAGAGAACUCACCUGCCUCUCAAGUGAAUCUUGGCCGUUUCUAAUGUAGGUUGGCUGUUUUAGAGGAAACUCUUCUAUGGGUAGUAAACUAUACUAGACAAUAGCAAAGAAAUCCUUGCUGAACUCACCCUAAGCAUCAAGUCCACAGUUUGUUUUUAAAUUAAUCUAGACAUUUUGUUACAGCCUUCUUACUCCCAUUCCUCCUAGAACUUUUUUAGUACAACACUGACGUGGGAGUGUUAUAUAUCAAUCUGUUGAUUUCAUUGGUUAAGCAAUAAAGAAACUGCUUGGCCCUGAUAGGUUAAAACAUAGGUGGGAGGAGUAAACAGAACAGAAUGCUGGGAGAAAGAGGAAGUGAGCUCAGACUUGACAGCUCUGCUUUCUGGAGCAGAGACGCCAGGCUGCUCUCUCCCAGGCAGCUCCGACCCAGGAUGGACGGAGGCUAGAAUCUUCCCAUCAGGCCGCAGUGGCACACAACUUCAAUCCCAGCACUCGGGAGGCAGAGGCAGGUGGAUCUGUGAGUUCGAGACCACACUGGAUUACAUGGUAAAUCUGGGGCUGGAGAGAUGGAGCAGGGGUUAAGAGCUGCUCUUCCAGAGUUCCUGAGUUCAAUUCCCAGCAAGCACAUGGUGGCUCACAACAGUCUACAGUGAGAUCUGGUGCCCUCUUCUGGUCUGCAAGUAUACAUGGUUUCUCUGUAUAUCCCUUGCUGUCCUGGAACUUGAUCUGUAGACCAGGCCUUGCUGGGAUUAAAGAAGCAUGCACCACCACCAACCGGCUCAAUCUAUCUUUCUUGAAAAUUUUUCAGAGAAUAAACAAAGCUUAUUAAAUUUUUAAGGAACUGGGGUGCUUCUCAGUUGUACCAUGCAUGGCAAACACCUGCAAUCUAGGACUUGGGAGAUCCAAGCUGGAGAAUAAAUUCAUCCAAGGCUAUAUAUUGCCAGCCUAGGUUACAUAUGACCUUUCUCAAAGAAAAACAGAAAAAUAAAACUUGUAGGGCCAAAUACUUGAGAGCCUAGAAUGUGUAAUUCAUUCUAGAAGAAACUUAUGACAAAUACUGCAAGCUGUAACACUGCUACUUCACAACAUUAAAAUACAGCUGUUUAGAUAUACUGUGUCUAGAAUUAUAUGCCCAAUUUAUAAUUACACGCACCAAACUCUGAUAGGACAAAUAAAUAAAUAAAUCCUACUGGCUAAGCAUCACUACAUUAAAAAACAACUUAGCUUUAAACAGUAGUUUAUUUUAUUUGUAUUUUAUUUUUUACAUUUAUCAUUGGAAAACAUCCAGGAAAUCCUUUAUCAAGUAUACUAUCCACCUCUUGCUUCCGAAAUGCAGGCAAAGGAUGCCAUCAUCACUGGGCCAACCGAGGAUUUUCUUCUACCACCCAGGGCCAAUGCUGAAAAGCAUUUCUAAUGCUUUUGCAAGCAUGUAACUAUCACAACUACUCAUGAAACCAGAUAUGGAUUGGAAGCGGUAGGCUUUCUUUUAUGAAACACUUUACUGAUCAAAUAUUCUAUAUAGUUCUUGAUGCAUCUAGUACCAUCUCAGUAUCAAUUCAAUUCCAAGAGCCUUCAUUUUAAAUACUAAAAAAAACUUUAAAAAAUAAAUCUGGUUUCAGUGAUCCAAGGUUGAGUUCAUGAUAUGUGAAUUAUAUUUCAAUGAAAAAAAAUUGUUUGGGGAAGAGAAUACACUCGCCAAUAGACUUGUACUGUUAACCUGAAUUCAUUCAAAUUGUACCUUUGCUUCACGUUUGGGAUAAGGCAAUGAGCCUGUCACUGAGCAAAUACCAAGAUUCCAUUACAUUGUUUCCACUAAAACAAAACCAAAAAACCGAAAACUAAAAACCUAAAAUUCUCUUUCCUUUAGUUUCUUCUCUUUGUUGCUUCCUAACCAAAACAUCUGAAGGGGACAGCUAACAGCCCGGAGAGGAACUAGGUUACUAAUAUUUUUCGACCCAGGGCUGGAUGAGUAGUAGUUUUCAAACAUAAAGCAGGCGGCUCUAAAUCAACUACGGGUUUGGUUUCAUAGAACGAGGCAAUUCUUUAGGGACUCCAAUACUAAGAGAGACAUGUUUAGGUUAGAAAGAGAAAAACAGACGGUUCUUUCAGACUCUUCACAUCCUAAGUAAAGAAAAUGGUCCAUCCUCCGGGGCCCUUUUUACCCCCUCUGCUAUCAGGGCAACAGAUAAGUGGAGUAGAUUUACUCUCGGCUGUAUGGGGAGAUAUCUUCACAUAUGGAUUUGCCAAUCUCGCUUCUCAGAAACGAACUAUCGCUGACCCCAAGUGAUUCUUUUCACGAACGGGUGUAUUCUUCCGACAAACACUCCGAUCCCCGAUCGAGGUCACUGCCUAGGCGAUGACGCUUGCCAGGCUCGGGUUUGAGCUCCACUCCGAGAGCCGAGCCUGCUCUGGGAACCACGGACCGACCAUCGCAGCCGGCCAAGGCGAAGGAACGCGUGCCCGCCCGAGGGCCGACCGAGCCGCCGGCGUCGGCUUUUUUUGCCAUUCGAAUCCGGACUAGGAAGUGAGCCUGCGCCCGCUCAGUUCCGGGAGCCGCAGCGUCCGCGGCGCCGUCCGGAACCCGCCCGGGCCGCGCGCAACAAGUGAGUGGCGCGCGCCUAGGUCCCCCCGCGGCCUCCCCGCGCC